rnacentral:rRNA from 1 species
GAUGAACGCUGGCGGCGUGCCUAAUACAUGCAAGUCGAGCGAACAGAUGAGGAGCUUGCUCCUCUGACGUUAGCGGCGGACGGGUGAGUAACACGUGGAUAACCUACCUAUAAGACUGGGAUAACUUCGGGAAACCGGAGCUAAUACCGGAUAAUAUAUUGAACCGCAUGGUUCAAUAGUGAAAGACGGUUUUGCUGUCACUUAUAGAUGGAUCCGCGCCGCAUUAGCUAGUUGGUAAGGUAACGGCUUACCAAGGCGACGAUGCGUAGCCGACCUGAGAGGGUGAUCGGCCACACUGGAACUGAGACACGGUCCAGACUCCUACGGGAGGCAGCAGUAGGGAAUCUUCCGCAAUGGGCGAAAGCGUGACGGAGCAACGCCGCGUGAGUGAUGAAGGUCUUCGGAUCGUAAAACUCUGUUAUUAGGGAAGAACAAAUGUGUAAGUAACUAUGCACGUCUUGACGGUACCUAAUCAGAAAGCCACGGCUAACUACGUG